ACGGUCUCAGUUCAGAUUGCAGGCUGCAACUCGCCUGCAUGAAGUUGGAAUUGCUAGUAAUCGCGAAUCAGAAUGUCGCGGUGAAUACGUUCCCGGGCCUUGUACACACCGCCCGUCACACCAUGAGAGUCGAUAACACCCGAAGCCUGUGAGCUAACCGUAAGGAGGCAGCAGUCGAAGGUGGGGUUGAUGAUUGGGGUGAAGUCGUAACAAGGUAUC
rnacentral:rRNA from 1 species